rnacentral:ncRNA from 1 species
ACCAGUUUGAUUCUGACUGAAAAAUUAACUUCUACCAACCAACAUACAUGUAAAAUAUUUAACGCCCGACUCAAAUUAUUUCUAAAUGAUUUAAUAAAUGUAUAAAGACAUUCUCAAUACAGUAAAGCGCCACAGUAGAUAACACUUUUCAAUUUGAGAAAUCAAGAAAAGAGUGUGGUAUAAGGGCUGGCAAAAUUCGUGCCAGCUGCCGCGGUUAGACGAUAAGCCCAAGUUAAUAUAAUAUAAACUAAUUAAUGAUAAAUUAAAUAACAAUAAAAGUCUAAUUUUUAAAGUUCUUGACUCGCAUUUAUCAAUAAAUAAUGAAAUCGUGAACUAAAACAUGGAUUAGAUACCCAUUUAUUCACGACAUAAAUUAACAGUUGAAUAUUACGAACAACAGUUUAAAAUUCAAAGAUUUUGGCGGUGUCUUAUAAAACCAGGGGAACCUGUCUCAUAACUCGAUAAUCCACGUAUACUCAACCUUCUUUAGAUCGCAGCAUGUGUACUGCCGUUGUAGGCAUACCUUUAAAAGUAAGUAUGCUGCCAUGACUAAACUCCACGCACAUCAGGUCAAAGUGCAGCUAAUAAGAAGGAGAUGAUGGGUUACAACCCCAAAUAAGAUAAUCAACUAAGAAAUAAAAAAUCUUACGAAAGUGGACUUGGCUGUAAUUAAUUUACAAGUUAAAGAAAUGAAUAAAACUCUAAGACAUGCACACAUCGCCCGUCACUCUACCCUAAAGGGUAGAUAAGUCGUAACAAAGUAGAUGUAAUGGAAAUUGCACCUGU